CCCAAAUUCCUAAUCUACCCAACAAAAUUCACUAUAACCCGAUCUAUAUCCAAAUUAAUCAGUUUCAGUCACAAUGCAACAUUACCCAGCCCCCAAUUCAGGCCCAAAAUAAUUCCAACCCAACAAAAUAAUAACGACAACACAUAGCAACAGCCCAAGAUCUUCCAGCCCUCUAAUCUUUUUUUUUUCCAACCCAGCAGCCCAAACUACACACCACCAGGCCCAAAAACCCAAACCGGCCCACCGGCCCACCACCCCUUAUCUUCAACACAGCAAAACAGCCAAUAAACACCCGUACAAUUCCAUCGACAAGCAACCGACAUCAGUAACCAUAUUCCGACGAUACAAACACCAACAAUUUCAACGCGGAAAACAACAGCCAACAACAACUCCAGCGAACCAAUUCCAAACGACACCCGCAAUCAGCGAAACCAGAAUUCGAUCCGAACAACAACUUCAUUCAACCAACGACAAACCCUCCAAAUCACAGAAAAUCUAUCUUUUCAUCUUGUCUCUGAAUUUUGCAGACCUAGAACCAUGGUUGUCGACUUUUGGCUCAGGAUUGUGUGUCUCUAACCCCAAGAUUCAAUUGGAAUUAGGUGUCAUAAGUUCGAAUCUGCAUUUUUGGGAUAUGUUUUCAUCCUUUUAAAAUUUUUGUCAAAUUUCCAGCCAUUGUCUGUCAAAAAACAGACUAUUUUUUGAAUGGUAAAUGAGAUUUUUUCGGCUAUAAAUAGGAAUCGAGACUUCCAUUGAAGGGGGGUUUCUAGGGGAAAAAAUUGAGGGUUAUGGAGGUGCGCACCUCUAACCCUACAUAACCAAGAAGUUCAUGGUGAAAUUUAUUUAAAUUCGUUGAAAUAAUUUUCGCAAGAACGAUUCAACGCAGGUAAAUCCAAGUCGAGUUUUGGUGGUGA
rnacentral:lncRNA from 1 species